rnacentral:rRNA from 1 species
ACGGAGGGUGCAAGCGUUAUUCGGAAUCACUGGGUGUAAAGCGCGUGUAGGCGGUUUGGUAAGUCAGGUGAGAAAGCUUCGGGCUUAAACCGAAAAGUGCACUUGAAACUGCCAGGCGUGAGUUCCGGAGAGGAAGGUGGAAUUACCAGUGUAGAGGUGAAAUGCGUAGAUAUUGGGAGGAACAUCGGUGGCGAAGGCGACCUUCUGGACGGUGACUGACUCUGAGACGCGUAAGCGUGUUGAGCAAACGG